rnacentral:rRNA from 1 species
UACGUAGGGUGCGAGCGUUGUCCGGAUUUACUGGGCGUAAAGAGCGCGCAGGCGGUCGUUCAAGUCGAGUGUGAAAGCCCCCGGCUCAACUGGGGAGGGUCAUUCGAUACUGAUCGACUCGAAGGCAGGAGAGGGUAGUGGAAUUCCCGGUGUAGUGGUGAAAUGCGUAGAUAUCGGGAGGAACACCAGUGGCGUAGGCGACUACCUGGCCUGUUCUUGACGCUGAGGCGCGAAAGCUAGGGGAGCAAACGGG